rnacentral:rRNA from 1 species
GACGAACGCUGGCGGCGUGCUUAACACAUGCAAGUCGAACGGAAAGGCCCUGCUUUUGUGGGGUGCUCGAGUGGCGAACGGGUGAGCAACACGUGAGUAACCUGCCCUUGUCUUUGGGAUAACUUCAGGAAACUGGGGCUAAUACCGGAUAGGAGCUCCUGCUGCAUGGUGGGGGUUGGAAAGUUUCGGCGGUUGGGGAUGGACUCGCGGCUUAUCAGCUUGUUGGUGGGGUAGUGGCUUACCAAGGCUUUGACGGGUAGCCGGCCUGAGAGGGUGACCGGCCACAUUGGGACUGAGAUACCGCCCCGACCCCUACGGGGGGCAGCCGUGGGGAAUAUUGCACAAUGGGCGGAAGCCUGAUGCAGCAACGCCGCGUGCGGGAUGACGGCCUUCGGGCUGUAAACCGCUUUCGCCUGUGACGAAGCGUGAGUGACGGUAAUGGGUAAAGAAGCACCGGCUAACUACGUG